rnacentral:rRNA from 1 species
UACGUAGGGUGCAAGCGUUGUCCGGAAUUAUUGGGCGUAAAGAGCUCGUAGGCGGCCUGUCGCGUCGGCUGUGAAAACCCGAGGCUCAACCUCGGGCCUGCAGUCGAUACGGGCAGGCUAGAGUUCGGUAGGGGAGACUGGAAUUCCUGGUGUAGCGGUGAAAUGCGCAGAUAUCAGGAGGAACACCGGUGGCGAAGGCGGGUCUCUGGGCCGAAACUGACGCGGAGGAGCGAAAGCGUGGGGAGCGAACAGG